rnacentral:rRNA from 1 species
GACGAACGCUGGCGGCGUGCCUAAUACAUGCAAGUCGAGCGAACAGACGCGGAGCUUGCUCCUCUGACGUUAGCGGCGGACGGGUGAGUCACACGUGGAUACCCUACCUAUAAGACUGGGAUAACUUCGGGAAACCGGCGCUAAUCCCGGAUGAUCUACUGAACCGCAUGGUUCAAUAGUGAAUGUCGGCUUUUGUGUCACUUAUAGCUGGAUCCGCGCCGCAUUAGCUAGUUGGUAAGGUAACGGCUUUCCAAGGCUACCAUGCGUAGACGAACUGAGAGAGUGGUCGGCCACACGGGAGGUUGGACGGCGUCCAGAGUCCUGCGGGACGGCGCAGAAGGGAAUGGUACGCAAUGGGCGAGAGCAUGACGGAGCGAGGGGAAGUGAGUUGUGAAGGUCUUCGGAGCGGAAAACUGUGUUACGAGGGAAGAACAAAUGUGGAAGUAACUAUGCAGGGAUUGACGGUACCGAAUCAGGAAGCCACGGCUAACUACGUG